rfam:Aphanomyces invadans strain NJM9701 unplaced genomic scaffold supercont1.1, whole genome shotgun sequence.
CCCACGGUGUUUUUCAACACCACCCUUGCAGUCACAAGAAACGCU